CAAAACUUAUAAUCCCAUCUGCAGUCAUUCAAAUUCAUUAACUAAAAGAUAGACAACUGACUUUCGUUUUACUCCAAAAUGUACUGAUAGUUGUAAAACCCUCAUCUGAUUUCUUUGAUCGGUAUUGUUCUCCAACUUCAUAAUAGAUUCAAACUCUAGCCCUCUUGCUACUGCAGCUUGGGCACUUGUACUGCUUGAUAUGCUCAGCCUUUGCAGGUGUAAUCUUCACACAUUUACCAUGAAACCAUCUCUCACAAACAUCACAGCA
rnacentral:lncRNA from 1 species